rnacentral:rRNA from 1 species
UACGUAGGAGGCGAGCGUUGUCCGGAUUUACUGGGCGUAAAGGGCGCGUAGGCGGAUAUCUAAGUUGGGGGUGAAAUCCCGGGGCUCAACCUCGGAAUUGCCUUCAAAACUGGAUAUCUUGAGUUCGGGAGAGGUGAGUGGAACUCCGAGUGUAGAGGUGAAAUUCGUAGAUAUUCGGAAGAACACCAGUGGCGAAGGCGACUCACUGGCCCGAUACUGACGCUGAGGCGCGAAAGCCAGGGGAGCAAACGGG